CGCCUGCCACCUGCUCUCCUGCCACUCGCACCGCCUCAACCUCUUCCUCAUCCGCCUCGACUACACCGGCAUCGCCGUCAUGAUCGUCGUCUCCUUCUUCCCGCCCAUCUACUACAUCUUCCAGUGCGAGCCGCGCUGGCAGGUCGCCUACCUCUCCGCCAUCUCGCUCGCCGGCGCCGCCACCGUCUACGCGCUCAUGUCCCCCCGCCUCAGCGACGCCAAGUACCGCGCCC
rnacentral:lncRNA from 1 species